rnacentral:rRNA from 1 species
CACGUAGGGUGCAAGCGUUAAUCGGAAUUACUGGGCGUAAAGCGUGCGCAGGCGGUUCGCUAAGACCGAUGUGAAAUCCCCGGGCUUAACCUGGGAACUGCAUUGGUGACUGGCGGGCUAGAGUAUGGCAGAGGGGGGUAGAAUUCCACGUGUAGCAGUGAAAUGCGUAGAGAUGUGGAGGAAUACCGAUGGCGAAGGCAGCCCCCUGGGCCAAUACUGACGCUCAUGCACGAAAGCGUGGGGAGCAAACAGG